ACACGUGAGCAACCUGCCCCUGACUCUGGGAUAAGCGCUGGAAACGGUGUCUAAUACUGGAUAUGUCCCAUCACCGCAUGGUGUGUGGGUGGAAAGAUUUUUCGGUUGGGGAUGGGCUCGCGGCCUAUCAGCUUGUUGGUGAGGUAAUGGCUCACCAAGGCGUCGACGGGUAGCCGGCCUGAGAGGGUGACCGGCCACACUGGGACUGAGACACGGCCCAGACUCCUACGGGAGGCAGCAGUGGGGAAUAUUGCACAAUGGGCGCAAGCCUGAUGCAGCAACGCCGCGUGAGGGAUGACGGCCUUCGGGUUGUAAACCUCUUUUAGCAGGGAAGAAGCGAGAGUGACGGUACCUGCAGAAAAAGCACCGGCUAACUACGUGCCAGCAGCCGCGGUAAUACGUAGGGUGCAAGCGUUAUCCGGAAUUAUUGGGCGUAAAGAGCUCGUAGGCGGUUUGUCGCGUCUGCUGUGAAAUUCCGAGGCUCAACCUCGGGCUUGCAGUGGGUACGGGCAGACUAGAGUGCGGUAGGGGAGAUUGGAAUUCCUGGUGUAGCGGUGGAAUGCGCAGAUAUCAGGAGGAACACCGAUGGCGAAGGCAGAUCUCUGGGCCGUAACUGACGCUGAGGAGCGAAAGGGUGGGGAGCAAACAGGCUUAGAUACCCUGGUAGUCCACCCCGUAAACGUUGGGAACUAGUUGUGGGGUCCUUUCCACGGAUUCCGUGACGCAGCUAACGCAUUAAGUUCCCCGCCUGGGGAGUACGGCCGCAAGGCUAAAACUCAAAGGAAUUGACGGGGACCCGC
rnacentral:rRNA from 1 species